UUUUUUUUUGUCUUUUUCAUUUUUAUCAGUACCAGGGAUCGAACUCACGACCGCCUGCUUGCAAGGCAGGUGCUUAUGCCGCUGAGCUAAAUCCCCAGCCCCCCCAAGAUUUCCUGGUUACAAGGUGGAGGAAGCCAGAGUCGCCUCGGGUACCAGGCUAGGGGGUGUGACUCGGCGCAGCGCACCCCGGCGGGCGGUGAGGGAGUGCCCGGCUUCUCGGUCUGCAGCAACCCCCGCCCCGGCUCUAGGAAGUCCCGUACUCUACUUCGGAGUGCAGGCGGGGUGGAGGUCGAGCACUUCCCAGAGAAGAACCCAGGAGGGCGGAGGGACGAGGGAUAAGGGGUGCCCGCGGGUCUCCGAGCCCGGGCCGGCAGCAUCGGGGCCCUGGGGCCAGGAGCAGGGCGAGCCCGGGGCGCCCCGCAAGGACCCCGACUCACCAGAGCGACAUGGCGACGCGGCUGGGCGGCGCGGGGCGUGCGGGACGCAGGCACGGCUCCUCUAGGACAAUGGGCUGCACACAGACAGAUCAGGAAGUGGGCAUGGUGGCCCAGGCUGUGUGAUGGCCCAGGCCUGUAACCUGAAGGAUCCUCUGACAAGUCCCUCUGCUGGCCUCCUACAGUCUUUUGAUCCUGUUCCAGGUUGGAAUCCCAGCACCGAGCACAUAAGACUUCAAAAGUGACCACAGAGAUGGGAUAACGCAGCAGCUAUAACCUGCCAAGCCCAGUUUCAGGCCCGGGGCAUGAACGGCUCACUGGGCUCUGGCCUGCAUGGUAAUUACUUCUGACUGAUGGAGGCGCAGAGAGGACAAGCCCAAGCCCCUGAAGCAUACGCCAGGACUCUUUCCCAGAACCUCUGGUCCCCCUUGCAUCUGGAGCCCAGCCCGUCUUGCCCUCCUUCGACCCUCAGUCUGCCCAUUCCAAGCACAGAUUGAGCAAUGCAGGGUGCGCAGGCCUGGAACCAGGCGCAGGGAGGGGACCGGGCAUCUCCUCCACACAGCACCGAAGGCAUGAUUCACAUCAGAAAAGAUGGAUGAUCACACUUCCUCAGGAUUAAGAAUGUCUGCUCUUUGAAGGUCAUUUGAGAGAGAAUGGAAGGACAGGCCACACGCAGACUGCGAGAAACCACUUACAAAGCAUGUUUCUGAUGUGGGUCACUAAUAAAGAACUCUCUGAUGGGACAAGGACAAAACCCAAAGGGGAAAAUGGUAAAAAGAUGUGAUCGGACCUCCCUCAAGGGGACACACAGAGAAGGCUGAGCAGUCACACGGUGGAGUGCUGAGUGUCAGCAGUCACUGCUAAGUCGCCCCAUUGCUCAGGCUGGGCUGGAACUUGCAGUCCCCCUGCCUCAGCCUCCCAGAGCGCUGGGGUUCCAGGCGGGCCCCACAUCACACCUGAUCCUGGUCACAGCUGAGCGUCUCCGUUUAUCAAGCACACUCAGUGAUGUUUGUAUAAGGACAGAAUUGCCUCGCUGCCUCUCUUGGAAGGUAGGGCUGCCCUUGAGUGAUACAGGACUGUGUACCCACUUCGGGUUACCAGCUACCAGGUCAUAAAAAGGAGUAAAUGAUGGACACAUAUGACACCAGGAGUGCAUUGCGACACGGUGAUCCUGAAUGAAAGAAACCAGAUACAAAGGCGUGCCCGUCACAGGACUUGAUGCUGUGUACAGAACUCUAGAAAAUGUCAACAAGUUCGUGAGCCAUCGCCCAGGGAUGGGGCGAGGCGGAAGAAAGGGGUUUCAAAAGCUGCAGGCAAUUGUGGGGUGACGUUGGUCCCCUGCGUCUACCGUGGCGCUGUUUCCGUGGGUGUUACGUCGGUCAGAAGCUGUCACUUCGUGUACUUUACACACAUGCUGUUGAUCGCUGUCGAUUACGCCCCAAUAAAACCUUUAAAAGGAAA